AGUGAACGCUGGCGGUAGGCCUAACACAUGCAAGUCGGACGGCAGCACAGUAAGAGCUUGCUCUUACGGGUGGCGAGUGGCGGACGGGUCAGGAAUACACCGGAAUCUACUUUUUCGUGGGGGCUAACGUAGGGAAACUUACGCUAAUACCGCAUACGACCUACGGGUGAAAGCAAGGGAACUUCCGACCUUCUGUGAUUGAAUGAGGCGGUGCCGGAUUAGGUAGUUGGGGGGGUAAGGGCCCACCGAGGCGACGAUGCGUAGCCGGUCUGAGAGGAUGGUCAGCCAGCCUGGAAGUGAGACACGGUCCAGACUCCUACGGGAGGCAGCAGUGGGGAAUAUUGGACGAUGGGCGCAAGCCUGAUCCAGCCAUACCGCGUGGGUGAAGAAGGCCUUCGGGUUGGAAAGCCCUUUUGUUGGGAAAGAAAAGCAGCAGGUUAAUCCCCCGCUGUACUGACGGUACCCAAAGAAUAAGCACCGGCUAACUUCGUG
rnacentral:rRNA from 1 species